rnacentral:rRNA from 1 species
AUUGAACGCUGGCGGCAGGCCUAACACAUGCAAGUCGAGCGGAUGAGUGGAGCUUGCUCCAUGAUUCAGCGGCGGACGGGUGAGUAAUGCCUAGGAAUCUGCCUGGUAGUGGGGGACAACGUUUCGAAAGGAACGCUAAUACCGCAUACGUCCUACGGGAGAAAGCAGGGGACCUCCGGGCCUUGCGCUAUCAGAUGAGCCUAGGUCGGAUUAGCUAGUUGGUGAGGUAAAGGCUCACCAAGGCGACGAUCCGUAACUGGUCUGAGAGGAUGAUCAGUCACACUGGAACUGAGAGACGGUCCAGACUCCUACGGGAGGCAGCAGUGGGGAAUAUUGGACAAUGGGCGAAAGCCUGAUCCAGCCAUGCCGCGUGUGUGAAGAAGGUCUUCGGAUUGUAAAGCACCUUAAGUUGGGAAGAAGGGCAGUAAGUUAAUACCUUGCUGUUUUGACGUUACCGACAGAAUAAGCACCGGCUAACUUCGUGCCAGCCGCCGCUGUAAUAC